AUUGAACGCUGGCGGCAUGCUUUACACAUGCAAGUCGAACGGCAGCGCGGGCUUCGGCCUGGCGGCGAGUGGCGAACGGGUGAGUAAUGCAUCGGAACGUGCCCAGUAGUGGGGGAUAGCCCGGCGAAAGCCGGAUUAAUACCGCAUACGACCUGAGGGUGAAAGCGGGGGACCGAAAGGCCUCGCGCUAUUGGAGCGGCCGAUGUCGGAUUAGCUAGUUGGUGGGGUAAAGGCUUACCAAGGCGACGAUCCGUAGCUGGUCUGAGAGGACGACCAGCCACACUGGGACUGAGACACGGCCCAGACUCCUACGGGAGGCAGCAGUGGGGAAUUUUGGACAAUGGGGGCAACCCUGGUCCAGCCAUGCCGCGUGCGGGAAGAAGGCCUUCGGGUUGUAAACCGCUUUUGUUCGGGAAGAAAUCCUCUGGGCUAAUACCCCGGGGGGAUGACGGUACCGGAAGAAUAAGCACCGGCUAACUACGUG
rnacentral:rRNA from 1 species